ensembl:lncRNA
AGUGUCAUUUAGAUGCAUUUGCACACUGUUUAAUGCAGCUCUCAGUGACAUUAAAUACUUUAUUAUGCAAUUACAAAUGCAUAAAUAAUGUUUUGAUAUUUUAAACAUAAAACAUUGAAAACUGAUGUUUGAAAUUAUUUAAAAAAUGAAAAGGUACUGUAAAUGUGAAAUUACAACUGCCAGUAGGUGGCAGCAAGUCACUGUCAAUAAGUGAGUCAUUGUGUUUGAACUGAAUCAUUUAAACGGGUGAUUCUUUCAGGGAACAAAACAGCGUCCUGUUGCCCAGCGAGGCAAAACAGCACUGUGGCUGUGUUUAAAAUUAUUUUUGUUGGAGAAAUAGAGCCAAAACAGGAAAUAUGGUGUCUAAAACCUCCAUAAAACCGGAUGCACUGCUCUGGUCCACGCAGAAAAGCGAGAUGAGGAGGAGGAAUGAGAGAAGAGGAGAUUUACGUAGAGGUUUGAGGAUCAGACGUCAUCCACCACAUCACAAUGACGGCAGACUCCACGGCAACCAGCAAUUUUAAGCGACUGAGAAAGUCACAGAGGGAACAUAGAAACAUAAUUAGAAUAAAUUUUCAGCCACUCUGAAACUCA